AAUAACCACGUGUCAUGAUCUCG
rnacentral:snRNA from 1 species